rnacentral:tRNA from 1 species
UAACUUAGUGGUAGAGUGCAAGCUUAGCAUGCAUGAGGUCCUGGGUUCAAUCCCAG